rnacentral:rRNA from 1 species
UAGGGGGCGAGCGUUAUCCGGAAUUAUUGGGUGUAAAGGGUGCGUAGACGGGAAAUUAAGUUAGUUGUGAAAACCCCAGGCUCAACUUGGGACGUGCAACUAAAACUGAUAUUCUUGAGUACUGGAGAGGAAAGUGGAAUUCCUAGUGUAGCGGUGAAAUGCGUAGAUAUUAGGAGGAACACCAGUGGCGAAGGCGACUUUCUGGACAGAAACUGACGUUGAGGCACGAAAGUGUGGGGAGCAAA